rnacentral:rRNA from 1 species
GAUGAACGCUGGCGGCGUGCCUAAUACAUGCAAGCCGAGCGAACGGACGAGAAGCUUGCUUCUCUGAUGUUAGCGGCGGACGGGUGAGUAACACGUGGAUAACCUACCUAUAAGACUGGGAUAACUUCGGGAAACCGGAGCUAAUACCGGAUAAUAUUUUGAACCGCAUGGUUCAAAAGUGAAAGACGGUCUUGCUGUCACUUAUAGAUGGAUCCGCGCUGCAUUAGCUAGUUGGUAAGGUAACGGCUUACCAAGGCAACGAUGCAUAGCCGACCUGAGAGGGUGAUCGGCCACACGGGAACUGAGACACGGUCCAGACUCCUACGGGAGGCAGCAGUAGGGAAUCUUCCGCAAUGGGGGAAAGCCGGACGGAGCAACGCCGCGUGAGUGAUGAAGGUCUUCGGAUCGUAAAACUCUGUUAUUAGGGAAGAACAUAUGUGUAAGUAACUGUGCACAUCUUGACGGUACCUAAUCAGAAAGCCACGGCUAACUACGUG